rnacentral:rRNA from 1 species
AGCGAACGCUGGCGGCAGGCUUAACACAUGCAAGUCGAGCGGGCGUAGCAAUACGUCAGCGGCAGACGGGUGAGUAACGCGUGGGAACGUACCUUUUGGUUCGGAACAACACAGGGAAACUUGUGCUAAUACCGGAUAAGCCCUUACGGGGAAAGAUUUAUCGCCGAAAGAUCGGCCCGCGUCUGAUUAGCUAGUUGGUGAGGUAACGGCUCACCAAGGCGACGAUCAGUAGCUGGUCUGAGAGGAUGAUCAGCCACAUUGGGACUGAGACACGGCCCAAACUCCUACGGGAGGCAGCAGUGGGGAAUAUUGGACAAUGGGCGCAAGCCUGAUCCAGCCAUGCCGCGUGAGUGAUGAAGGCCCUAGGGUUGUAAAGCUCUUUUGUGCGGGAAGAUAAUGACGGUACCGCAAGAAUAAGCCCCGGCUACUUCGUGCCAGCCGCCGCGGUAAAAC